rnacentral:rRNA from 1 species
UGCCAGACUCCUACGGGAGGCAGCAGUGGGGAAUAUUGCACAAUGGGGGAAACCCUGAUGCAGCGACGCCGCGUGAGUGAAGAAGUAAUUCGUUAUGUAAAGCUCUAUCAGCAGGGAAGAAAAUGACGGUACCUGAGUAAGAAGCCCCGGCUAACUACGUGCCAGCAGCCGCGGUAAUACGUAGGUGGCAAGCGUUAUCCGGAUUUACUGGGUGUAAAGGGCGUGUAGGCGGGACUGCAAGUCAGGUGUGAAAAUUAUGGGCUCAACCCAUAACCUGCAUUUGAAACUGUAGUUCUUGAGUGAUGGAGAGGCAGGCGGAAUUCCGUGUGUAGCGGUGAAAUGCGUAGAUAUACGGAGGAACACCAGUGGCGAAGGCGGCCUGCUGGACAUUAACUGACGCUGAGGCGCGAAAGCGUGGGGAGCAAACAGGAUUAGAUACCCCAGUAA